rnacentral:tRNA from 1 species
GCGGCUGUGGCGUAAUUGGUAGCCGCGCCAGACUUAGGAUCUGGUGCUGAAAGGCGUGGGGGUUCGAGUCCCUUCAGCCGCAC